rnacentral:rRNA from 1 species
UUAAAUUGAAGAGUUUGAUCAUGGCUCAGAUUGAACGCUGGCGGCAGGCCUAACACAUGCAAGUCGAACGGUAACAGGAAACAGCUUGCUGUUUCGCUGACGAGUGGCGGACGGGUGAGUAAUGUCUGGGAAACUGCCUGAUGGAGGGGGAUAACUACUGGAAACGGUAGCUAAUACCGCAUAAUGUCGCAAGACCAAAGAGGGGGACCUUCGGGCCUCUUGCCAUCGGAUGUGCCCAGAUGGGAUUAGCUAGUAGGUGGGGUAACGGCUCACCUAGGCGACGAUCCCUAGCUGG